rnacentral:rRNA from 1 species
ACGGAAGGCAGCAGUGGGGAAUAUUGGACAAUGGGGGAAACCCUGAUCCAGCGACGCCGCGUGAGUGAAGAAGUAUUUCGGUAUGUAAAGCUCUAUCAGCAGGGAAGAUAAUGACGGUACCUGACUAAGAAGCCCCGGCUAACUACGUGCCAGCAGCCGCGGUAAUACGUAGGGGGCAAGCGUUAUCCGGAUUUACUGGGUGUAAAGGGAGCGUAGACGGUAAUGCAAGUCAGAAGUGAAAGCCCAAGGCUCAACCAUGGGACUGCUUUUGAAACUGUAAUACUAGAGUGCAGGAGAGGUAAGUGGAAUUCCUAGUGUAGCGGUGAAAUGCGUAGAUAUUAGGAGGAACACCAGUGGCGAAGGCGGCUUACUGGACUGUAACUGACGUUGAGGCUCGAAAGCGUGGGGAGCAAACAGGAUUAGAUACCCUGGUA